CUGCCCAGUGACAAAAGUUAAACGGCCGCGGAACCCUAACCGUGCAAAGGUAGCAUAAUCACUUGCCUAUUAAUUGUAGGCUAGAAUGAACGGAUGAACGAAAUAAAGACUGUCUCAAUCAGUAAACUAAAAACUAACAUAUGCAUGAAGAGUUGCAAAUGAUGUCGAAGGACAAGAAGACCCUAUAGAGCUUUAUUUUUAAUGUAGAUAAUAACUAUAUAUAAAAUUCGGUUGGGGCGACCAAGGACACAAUAGAUAACAACCUAAAACAAAAUGAUAAAUUAAUCUACGAAUUGACCCUUAUUAAGAUCAUAAAAACAAGCUACCUUAGGGAUAACAGGCUAAUCCUAUUUAAGAGUCCAUAUCUACAAUAGGGUUUGGCACCUCGAUGUUGGCUUAGGGUAUCAAUAUAGCGCAAAAGUUAUAUAAAGAUGGUUUGUUCAACCAGUAAUUCCCU
rnacentral:rRNA from 1 species